GACGAACGCUGGCGGCGUGCCUAAUACAUGCAAGUCGAACGAACCGCGACUAGGUGCUUGCACUUGGUCAAGGUGAGUGGCGAACGGGUGAGUAACACGUGGGUAACCUACCUCAUAGUGGGGGAUAACAGUCGGAAACGACUGCUAAUACCGCAUAGGACAUAGGAUCACAUGAUCCAGUGAGGAAAGGUGGCGCAAGCUAUCGCUAAGAGAUGGACCCGCGGUGCAUUAGCUAGUUGGUAGGGUAAAGGCCUACCAAGGCGAUGAUGCAUAGCCGACCUGAGAGGGUGAUCGGCCACAUUGGGACUGAGACACGGCCCAAACCCCUACGGGAGGCAGCAGUAGGGAAUCUUCCGCAAUGGACGCAAGUCUGACGGAGCAACGCCGCGUGAGUGAAGAAGGUCUUCGGAUCGUAAAGCUCUGUUGUUAGAGAAGAACAGCGCAUAGAGUAACUGUUAUGCGUGUGACGGUAUCUAACCAGAAAGCCACGGCUAACUACGUG
rnacentral:rRNA from 1 species